rnacentral:lncRNA from 1 species
UUCCACAUUACAGUGCAUUGUGUCCUUCAGCAGCUCUCUUGUGCGGAGAAGGUCACACAGUUGGAAGAAGGGUGCUCUUUUCAUUCUAAGGAGGUCAACACACCUAGUGUCAUCAGCUUGAUAAAUGUAACUGAGAUUGUUCUGCCUCUGUUCCUCUCUAGCACUCAUGGGGGCAUAUGUGAUGGGUGGUCUGGUGAGACAACGGCGCCUGAACCUAACAAACAUCCAAGCUGUGACUACAACAACAAGUGAUGCACCCCUCAAAAUCAGCCAUCGGCGUCUUUCAGCACCAUCCAUCCUCUAGAACAAAGCAUCACAUAUAUCAGAAUACUACUAUUUCAUCAGUUGUGCUACAACAUUUG